CAUUCGGCCCAACAUACUGCCCUUUUGAGAAUGUGGCCAGCCUCUCCACGAAUUACCACCAGAUCUAGAGCCAUCAAAAAAACCAAUCCGUCCAGAGAGGUCAUCACCUUGUCCAUCAGCCGCAAAGGAGAAUCGCACCGUGGUGGAGGCGUUCGGGCCGCCAUAGUCACGGUUGAAAUGAUAGAAGCAGUGCUGCGCCAAAUGAUCGAACUGGCUACAUAUUUGGCACUGUGUUUGUGGUUGAAAUCCACGUCCACGCAAACCUAUCGUAGACCACCCGCCAUGUACAUCGCGUGAAUCGGAGUCGACCACCACAGUAACCAAAGGGGUUUUAACUAGAUGGGCAUGCAUUGGAACCUUAUACGCCGCUCGUAUCUGUCGAAUUUCAAACUCCAAAAGGACAUCAACUAAUCACUGAAAUGGAAGGGGUUCCGUCGAGAAUGAGGCCAAGGUCAAUACUGCAUCAAAAUCCGAUGAAAGACCAACCGAAACAACUUCUACUUUUUCGGCCUCUGACACCGCUGACCCAGAUGCUGCAAGUAACGCACAAAUGUUUUGUAUUUUUGCUACAUAUUCCUUUACAAUUAAAUCACCCUUCUUUGUAGAGUGCAAAUCAUGUUUCAUUCGAGAGAUUUUCGCACCAGUAGAAGUAGCGAAAAGACGAUUCGCUGUGCUCCAUAUUUCACAUGCAGAUUUAGCAGAUGUAAAGCAUGAUAAAAGAGAUGAACUGAUUGUAGAGAUGAGCCAAGAGGCUAACAACUUAUCUUGUUGAUUAAAAACAGAUGCAUCUGGAUUUGGAGUAAGAGCACCUUCUGGAGACGCAACGAACCUAGGCGAAGCAGACAACGUGCCUUCUAAGAAUCCUUGUAGCUCACACCCUCUGUUAUCAACCUAAUAUGAUACUGCCACUAGACAAAAUUUCCUUCCUCAAGUUUCAUUGUGUCAUUGCAAGGAAAGGAUUGGAUUAGACAUGUUCUGGAAAAUGACGGACUCUAAUGAUCAACAGAGGUAAAAUCGGCUGAUGGUGCUAUGAUGCGGAAGUAGAAGCACGUACCAGGACUAGGCGACUGAAACCAUAUUAGUUGGUCUUCAUACUUAGGACUGGACGUCGUGCGGGAGCUCGGAUUGAUUUUCUGGUUAAGUAAAUAAAUUGAUUUAUGAUUAUUUUAUUUAUGAUAUUUUGGUUUGUAAAAUUUUUUUAUGGUUUCUAUUCAUAUUCGUCGAAUUUUGGUAUUUUUAACGUAAAACAAUGAUAACGUACGAUUUAUCAUAUUCGAAAUCGGUUUUCAAAAUUAAAA